UUACAGAACAUUCUAUCUGUUGUGAUGGAUAACAUCAUACACUUCAGAAUCAGUUUGCUGAAAAUAAAAAGUAAGUUUUUGGAAAAAUAGAUUUUCCUUUUUCUUAUUCACAGAAAUUUUAAACUAUAAAAAGUCUUCGAGUGAAUAAUGUACACGUGUAUUAUUUAAGACAUACAGGUGCUAUCUGUAAAGUAAAACCAACAAGUCAGUUUUUAUGUUGACCAGCUGGGAAAUGUUGUUUUAGCUUUUCUUACACAAUUAUGCGCAUAUUACUUGCUUUUAUGAGUUACUCCAGUUCUUUUUUUUUUUUUUUUUUUUUUUUUGCCCCUUUAUUUUCCGGAAAUCAUCUUGAAAUCAAACCUUACUGGAAACACAUGGAAAAUCAGGAAUUUCCAGCCUACAGUAAUUUGAAACAUUUGAGGUCUUUAUUUUUCCCUUCAUGGAGGCAAAUUUAAGAAAAAAUUUCAAAUUCCUUAAUGAGUAGUAAUUGUAGUAGGUAGGAGUUGCUGUUCUAUAGCAACAAUUGUUAUUGUUGUUGUUGUUUUAAUUCAGGUUUCAUGGUAACAACACCUUGCUCAAGCUCCAGAAUAUUACAGUCUUCUUUGAAAGGAUUCGAUCUCUCCAUGUUAAAUGUAUUUACCUUAUUCUGGUCAGUAAAGUAAGAAGAGGAAAUUAGUCUAAACAAAGUUGAUAGACACCAAUUGGUUACUGUUUCACUCCCCACUGGGCAGGAAGGAAAUGGACAAGGUGACUGGGGAGUCAACAAGCUUUCCUCUCGCUUACCAUGCUGAGGUCACUGCAAGUUGCUUAGAUGAUUUAAGAAAGACACUCAGUAUCCUUUUUUUCAUGGCUGUCCAUAGGCUAAUACAUAUCUUUCUAACACACAUCUGUCCCAGUCAGGCACUAACAGAUGGAAAAGCAGAUGAUCCUACACACAGAUAGGUGUUCAGAUGAAGGCACUGAAGUUUUUAGUUACUUUCUUUUACUUAGGAGGUGAUGCUCAUCCUAUACCUCUCUUUCUGUCUCCAGAAUCAUUUUGGAAACAUGAAAUGAGACUGCCUGAAUGACGAUUUGAUUCUACAUCGCAGGAAGAACCCUACCUGUCAAUCACCAUCAACUCAACUGAGCCUCCCACAGUCGCUGAAACACUCCAGAAUCCCAGCAAGAUUGCUACAUCUGGGGGGGGGGGGACGCUUGGGUAGCUCAGUUGGUUAAUUUUGGCUCAGGUCAUGAUCUCUUGGCUGUGAGUUCAAGCCCCGCAUGGGAUUCUCUCUCUCUCUCUCUCCCUCUCUCUCUCUCUUUGCCCCUCCCCUGCGCAUGUUCUCUCUGUCUCUCUAAAUAAAGAAAUACAUAUAAAAAUAAAAGAUUGCUACCUCUGAUCGCUGAAAAUAGGAGCAGAUGAGCCUCAGGCAGCAGAAGAGACAGGGAAGUAGAGACUGAUUGAUUUAUCUAGUUCAGGGAACUGUUCCUUGACCACAUUUUCCUGCAUUCUUCCCAAAAGCUAGACUCCUGCUUUUGUUUUUCUCAUUUCAGGAUCUUCUUCCAACCCAUCUACACCCUUUCCAGUCUAGGUAAGUGAUGAAACCAUGAUUCCCCUUGUCCUUCAGGAAUGGGGGACAUCAAAUUUUUAGAGAACAGAUCUGGGUAGGAAAGGAUAAAGUUGUCACUCAGUAAGACUCAAACCUGUGUUUUAAAUCAUCCUGUCAAGGGGAGUCCUCACCAGAUCUGCCCACAAAGGUUAUCACAUCCUUGAUGGCCCAUGUCAGCUGAAGCCCAGAUGAUUUAGGGGACUCUGUUGAGUGAUACCUGAAAGGUUUCUUUUUGACUCAUUACUUUAGAAUUAUUUACCAGUCGUUGGAUGUGAAUUACUGAACACACACUGACAUGUGAUUGUGUAAUCUCUAGCCUGGUUCUCUGCAUCUCGGAUCUUCAUUUAUUUCUGCCACUGCAUCGAUCAAGUUGUCAUCAUUUCAUUACACCUGGUAGUGUAUGAGGUGGCGUUCUUUGAGGAAAGUUGGAUGAGGAAAACGGUGCAUAUUAAAACGGAAAAGACUGGAGGCACUUUCAGAGGGAAACUGUCAGUCGGGGACGGCACAGAGAAAGCCUCUCGGGUGUAUUCCACAGAUACACUCUAUGGAACCUGCAGAAAAUUUAAAAAUGACUUAAAAAAAUUGCUGAUGGAGGGUUAAACAGCAGAGGAUCCCGUGGCCUCUCUGUUAGCUCCCAGCUAAACAGGUUACCCUCCAAGAAAUGCACAACGAUGUCUUGAGACUAUGAGGUGUCUUGGAGUUUUAUUUUUCCUUCGCCGCAUUUGAUUGUAAACCUUGUUUUGCCUUUGAUCACUGACAGGUCUCACGGCUGGGUCCCUCCUACACAAGUCAAUUUUGGCAUGCUGAAUGUAGUUCAGUGUCUCAGAAUUAUUCUUGUCUUUCCCCCUUCCUUCCACA
rnacentral:lncRNA from 1 species